rnacentral:ncRNA from 1 species
UGAAAAGCGAUGAAUGGGACAAAGUAAAUUGUGGUCCAUGCCUCAGAGAGCCGGUGUAUGGUGCAAACCGGUGCAUUCCAGGAUUUAAUAUCACCCGUGAGCUCCUUUGCCGAAAUAAGUAGAUGAAGGCGUCUGUCCACGUUACGGAUGAAAACACUUGAGUAUAAUGUAGGGUGGUACCGCGAAUCCUUUCGCCCCUGUU